rnacentral:rRNA from 1 species
GUGGGGAAUUUUGGACAAUGGGCGCAAGCCUGAUCCAGCCAUGCCGCGUGCAGGAUGAAGGCCUUCGGGUUGUAAACUGCUUUUGUACGGAACGAAAAGACUCUUUCUAAUAAAGAGGGUCCAUGACGGUACCGUAAGAAUAAGCACCGGCUAACUACGUGCCAGCAGCCGCGGUAAUACGUAGGGUGCGAGCGUUAAUCGGAAUUACUGGGCGUAAAGCGUGCGCAGGCGGUGAUGUAAGACAGAUGUGAAAUCCCCGGGCUCAACCUGGGAACUGCAUUUGUGACUGCAUCGCUGGAGUGCGGCAGAGGGGGAUAGAAUUCCGCGUGUAGCAGUGAAAUGCGUAGAUAUGCGGAGGAACACCGAUGGCGAAGGCAAUCCCCUGGGCCUGCACUGACGCUCAUGCACGAAAGCGUGGGGAGCAAACAGGAUUAGAAACCCCUGUAGUCC